rnacentral:rRNA from 1 species
UACGUAGGGGGCAAGCGUUGUCCGGAAUUAUUGGGCGUAAAGAGCUCGUAGGCGGUGUGUCGCGUCGGCCGUGAAAACUUGCAGCUUAACUGUGGGCGUGCGGUCGAUACGGGCAUCACUGGAGUUCGGCAGGGGAGACUGGAAUUCCUGGUGUAGCGGUGAAAUGCGCAGAUAUCAGGAGGAACACCGGUGGCGAAGGCGGGUCUCUGGGCCGAUACUGACGCUGAGGAGCGAAAGCGUGGGGAGCGAACAGG